UACGGAGGAUCCGAGCGUUAUCCGGAUUUAUUGGGCUUAAAGGGUGCGUAGGUGGCCUGUUAAGUCAGGGGUGAAAGACGGUAGCUCAACUAUCGCAGUGCCCUUGAUACUGAUGGGCUUGAAUGAACUAGAGGUAGGCGGAAUGUGACAAGUAGCGGUGAAAUGCAUAGAUAUGUCACAGAACACCAAUUGCGAAGGCAGCUUACUAUGGUUUUAUUGACACUGAGGCAAGAAAGCGUGGGGAUCAAACAGG
rnacentral:rRNA from 1 species